ACAAACAACAAUUUGCCUGGGGGGUUUUUAUUCUUCUUUUUUUUUCAAGCGAUGCGUGGCCGAUAUAGGGUUACGGUUCAAUGGCUUCUCGUCAUGUUCCAUAUAUAAGUGUUUUGCGCGUCACUGUAAUUUCACAAUCAACUUCCCUUCGCGAUCACAGUGUCGUGUUUAGAAAGAUAUCACGCGUUUGUCGACUUAGCACUUCGCAGUGAUGCCUCCACACGUAAUGUUUACCGUUUGUUUGGUGGGAUGUAGGGUUAAGAAUCUUCGAAAGGAAGCCCUUCGAAGACGCCUAGAAGAUACCAAAGGCAUAGGAGAGGAAAAAACUGUAAGUGAUUCUUGUUGGUAAUGCAUGUCUUUUCCCAUGAGCUCUUUGGAUUGAAGGAUUAAGGAAGAACUAGGCGUUGGUCAUAUUCGAGUCCUAGAGAGCUGUUGGAUGUUUAUUUUUCAAUACGAUGAUGCAUUGGCUUGAAAAUUAAGCUUUCAAUGUCUGAUUAGAGUUGGAGACGAGUUUAGUCCACGAGUGUGCAUUUUCACACGAAUCAACUUAACCCGGCAACUGUGAAAACAAAUUGAGUCAAUGGAAAGUAUGUUAGCACGUUUUGGGGCGGUCCAUGGAACACAAAGGCUGUUUUGGGGUUGUUGUGUUCUCUUGCCCUUGUUUAUAAAUAGCAAACGCUUGUGAAAUUGCCGCACACAAAAAAAAUGAGACUGAAAGCAAAGUAUGUUUUCACGUUUUGGGGAGGUCCAUGGAGUGCAAAGGCUCCUUUAGGGUUGUUGUUUUCGGUUGCCCUUAAAUAGCAGUCGACUGUGAAUUUGCCGUGGGAAAGAAGGCGCUGUAUUGGGCGGUUUUAAUGCAAAUGAUUUGUUUCACCGACUUAAAACAAUCCCUGAUUAAAAGUUGAAGCUACGGGUCGCUACUCAUUUUAUGUUGAAAGCUAGCGCGUGAGCCAUAAUCAUAACACAUGUCUCUAUAUUUUACGAGCUUGUCUGUCUGUAGCUCUUUCAAUUAACGGAGUCAUUGUAAAUUGGACUCUUUGGCUUAUUUUCAAUUAGUGGUGUGAGGUCAUAGUGCUAAAAUACCAUUUACUAAAUUAGUUUUUUUCGCUGCCGCCUUCCAGUUGUAAACAGGAUAUAACUACAGGCUUGAAGAACGUUCAUAAAUACUCUGUGACCCUCAAUUUAUAUUUUAGAGACUAUGGUAGUAGUGUUCGAUCGCUUUCCGGGAUUUUAUGCAAAGACAGGCAUAAAAACACCUGGAACGUGACUGUCAACACGUACAGGGGAAGUGGAAAAAUAUAGACUGACACUGUCUGAGAGACAUUGUCUGAAAAAUUCAAUUGGGGAAAAGUAGCUCUAAUUGAUUUUUACCGCUUUAUGUACGUUUGAAUGCUAACAUGUAAGACGGCUGGUUACAUUUAUCAAUUCUAAUCUUUUAUGUUCUUUUCUUACUUCCAGGGCCAAAACAGAGCAGUUACAGGAUCGGAACACGCUCAGAGGGAUGCCGAGGAAACUGAAAAGGUGAAAAUGGACAGUAAACGUCAAGCAAACAGUGAUUCGUCAAAGGAUGCAAACCCUCAUGGUCACAAUCGCCAAAACGCGCCCUAACCGCGGCUGAACGAUUCUGCACACGCUGUUGUGCUAA